GACGUAGGGCGCGAGCGUUGUCCGGAUUUAUUGGGCGUAAAGAGCUCGUAGGCGGCUUGUCGCGUCGACUGUGAAAUCCCGCGGCUCAACUGCGGGUCUGCCAGUCGAUACGGGCAGGCUAGAGUUCGGUAGGGAGACUGGAAUCCUGGUGUAGCGGUGAAAUGCGCAGAUAUCAGGAGGAACACCGAUGGCGAAGGCAGGUCUCUGGGCCGAUACUGACGUGAGGAAGCGAAAGGCGUGGGGAGCGAACAGG
rnacentral:rRNA from 1 species